rnacentral:rRNA from 1 species
GCUAAUUUGACUCAACACGGGGAACCUCAUCAGGCCAGGACACCGGAAGGAUUGACAGAUUGAGAGCUCUUUCUUGAUUCGGUGGGUGGUGGUGCAUGGCCGUUCUUAGUUCGUGGAGUGAUUUGUCUGCUUAAUUGCGAUAACGAACGAGAUCCUACCCUACUAACUAGUCGAAACCGGCAUCCCCUGUGCAGCCGGCGACCAACACUCUUCUUAGAGGGACAGGCGGCUUCCAGCCGCAGGAAGUGGGGCAAUAACAGGUCUGUAAUGCCCUUAGAUGUUCUGGGCAGCACGCGCGCUACACUGAAGGGAUCAACGUGUGUUUUCCUUGCUCGAGAGGGCCGGGUAACCCGUUGAAACUCCUUCGUGCUAGGGAUUGGGGCUUGCAAUUAUUCCCCACCAACGAGGAAUGCCUAGUAAGCGGGAAUCAUUACUUCCUGCUGAUUAAGUCCUGAAUA